CAGGGAGACAACAAAAUGUUAAAUAUUAAUUUUGUCACCUUAGGUCGAUCGGUAUCUCACAUUCUUAAUUCAUUAAGGAUUUCACUUCCUAAGUUUUUUCUAGGUCACACCCAUCACUUUCCUGGGCCAUUAGCUCAGGUGGUUAGAGCGCACCCCUGAUAAGGGUGAGGUCCCUGGUUCAAGUCCAGGAUGGCCCAUAUCUCUAUGUUGGGGGUAUAGCUCAGUUGGUAGAGCGCCUGCUUUGCAAGCAGGAUGUCAGCGGUUCGAGUCCGCUUACCUCCACUGAUUACCACCUCUUCCAUAAUUUUCAGAAGGGAAAUGUUUUGAGAUGUGACCAAUUUCUGAACGAAUUCAGCUUCCUAAUCAAAUUUAUUAAGAUGCUGGACUCAUUGAAUUAAUUUCAUUGUUUUCAGAGAACCUUGACAACUGCAUAGAUUAUUUUUAAAGACAAUAAGCAUCUUUUAAUGAUGCAGAUUUAUUAUUUGUGCAAAUGCAUUAAUAACAAUUCUAUUAAGCUGAUGCUUCAAUUUUUGAAGUUAUU
rnacentral:tRNA from 1 species